UAACUGAAGAGUUUGAUCAUGGCUCAGAUUGAACGCUGGCGGCAGGCUUAACACAUGCAAGUCGAGCGGGGGAAGGUAGCUUGCUACUGGACCUAGCGGCGGACGGGUGAGUAAUGCUUAGGAAUCUGCCUAUUAGUGGGGGACAACAUCUCGAAAGGGAUGCUAAUACCGCAUACGUCCUACGGGAGAAAGCAGGGGAUCUUCGGACCUUGCGC
rnacentral:rRNA from 1 species